UACAGGGGGGGCAAGCGUUGUUCGGAAUUACUGGGCGUAAAGGGCCAGUAGGCGGCCAACUAAGUCACACGUGAAAUCCCCAGGCUUAACCUGGGAACUGCGUGUGAUACUGGAUGGCUUGAAUUCGGGAGAGGGAUGCAGAAUUCCAGGUGUAGCGGUGAAAUGCGCAGAUAUCAGGAGGAACACCGGUGGCGAAGGCGGUUCUCUGGGCAUUACCUGACGCUGAGGAGCGAAAGUGUGGGGAGCGAACAGG
rnacentral:rRNA from 1 species